GCGCAACCCUUAAGCUUAGUUGCCAUCAUUAAGUUGGGCACUCUAAGUUGACUGCCGGUGACAAACCGGAGGAAGGUGGGGAUGACGUCAAAUCAUCAUGCCCCUUAUGAUUUGGGCUACACACGUGCUACAAUGGACAAUACAAAGGGCAGCGAAACCGCGAGGUCAAGCAAAUCCCAUAAAGUUGUUCUCAGUUCGGAUUGUAGUCUGCAACUCGACUACAUGAAGCUGGAAUCGCUAGUAAUCGUAGAUCAGCAUGCUACGGUGAAUACGUUCCCGGGUCUUGUACACACCGCCCGUCACACCACG
rnacentral:rRNA from 1 species